UAAAGUUCCUGCUGCAAUUCCUGAAAUGGCUGUCAGCCCUACAAGCUCCUUGUUUGUGGGCUAAAAAUAUGGCAGCAUAAGUACUUUUUAAAAUUUUAAAAUUAGAAUUUUGAAAUAAUUUUGAAAUAAUUUUGUCCAAUAGGUAGCCAAGAAGACUGGAAUUUAUCUGUGUUCUCAGUCUUUCUAGACUGCAAAAAAAAAAAAAAAAAAAAAAAAAAGGAACUAGAACUUCUAGUAGAUGACAAAAGACUGCCAUCAAUAAAACAAGUGAGUAAAAUCCAAUAGGCAGCAGAAGCUGGCCUGGAAAUUGCUAAAUGGAAAGCUGCUCAUGAAGGGUCCUGUUCAGAGAACAUGAAACAUGUCCUGAGGAUGCUGACAGUUUGCCCCAGCGAGGUGCUACUUAUCUUCUUGUGGAUGUUUUUCCCUCUGCUACUACUGAAACCUGACCAGCUCCAUAAAAACUUAAGUUUGUGCCAGUUCCCCAUCUAUCUGCAUGAAAUGGCUGCUAAAGGAUGAGGGAAGAGAGGAUAUGAGCUGAAAAGAAUUUUAGCAGCAAGUCUGAAAGAAAAAUGGAAAGACCUGCAGUAAGUGAGGAAUUCUGCGGCAGAACAGCCAAGUGCACACGGGUCAGAGGGUGAAACCCUCUGUGGGCAUUCGUCUGCGUGUACAGUCAGUAAAAUUGUGGCUUUGGUAGACAGUCCUAAGAUGGUUACUUAAAGUAUUUUUUAUUUUUUCAUUUUUAUUUUAACUGAAAAUACAUAUUAUUGAUACGUGUGUGUGAUUUGCAAUACGUCAGAUGAAAUGUGAAUAUUCUAAACUGAUCUAGGUAGAUAAUUAUCUAUAAAAGAUAAUUAGCCUUAAGAGCCUUUUGCCCUGUCAAGAUGGGAAGAUAAGUCAGGGGAUUCUAAAUUCUUUUUUUCAUAGAGGCCUCAGUCUCUUUCUUUGUAAUUCAGAACUUAAUUAACAGAACAGAAAAAAUAAAGUUAAUGAUCCAAAUAUGUACGGAAGUAUUUUUAACAUUAAUGAAAUUUACCUGGAAGUUCUCAGUGAGUUUUGAAAUACAAUUUUGUGAUGUUUGGCCUUUGAAGACCAGUGUUCUAAGGCACAGGAGGCAGAGCUAAUUUAUGUAGACUUUUCCUCUGUGCUCUGUUCACUGCAGUUGCUGCUGUUUUGUGCUCUUGCAGUUUCUGAAGAUGCAGAACCCUUUUGGGCUGUGUUCAUCUUCUCUGCUCAGCUGCAGCUGCCCUCCUUCUGCAAGCCCUGAAAAACUGUGCUGUGAUUUAGG